rnacentral:lncRNA from 1 species
AGUUUAUCAUGCUAAUCGACAUAUAUUCCAUUAUUGAAAUUGAAAUCUAUGGGCAUCAUGUUUUUCAUGAAAGUCAGUUGCCUCAUUACUCUGGCUGGUACAUGUCCAAGCCUUUCGUGUCACACAUUUUGAUCUGUAGUAGUAUGUUCUGCCAAACAACUCCUAAUCUGUUUUCUGAGCUUAUUUGCACUUGACCCAUCUGGUAUUAACAGGUAGAGACC